UGGGGAAUAUUGCACAAUGGACGGAAGUCUGAUGCAGCGACGCCGCGUGGGGGAUGAAGGCUUUCGGGUUGUAAACUCCUUUCAGUACAGAAGAAGCUUUAUUGUGACGGUAUGUGCAGAAGAAGCGCCGGCUAACUACGUGCCAGCAGCCGCGGUAAUACGUAGGGCGCGAGCGUUGUCCGGAAUUAUUGGGCGUAAAGAGCUCGUAGGCGGUUUGUCGCGUCUGCUGUGAAAGACCGGGGCUUAACUCCGGGGCUGCAGUGGGUACGGGCAGGCUGGAGUGCGGUAGGGGUAACCGGAAUUCCUGGUGUAGCGGUGGAAUGCGCAGAUAUCAGGAGGAACACCGAUGGCGAAGGCAGGUUACUGGGCCGUUACUGACGCUGAGGAGCGAAAGCAUGGUGAGCGAACAGG
rnacentral:rRNA from 1 species